rnacentral:rRNA from 1 species
GACGAACCGAGCGAACGUUGUUCGGAAUCACUGGGCUUAAAGGGCGCGUAGGCGGGCUGCCGCGUCCGGGGUGAAAUCCCACGGCUCAACCGUGGAACGGCCCCGGGUACGGGCGGCCUCGAGGGGGGUAGGGGCGUGCGGAACUGUGGGUGGAGCGGUGAAAUGCGUUGAUAUCUACAGGAACUCCGGUGGCGAAGGCGGCGUGCUGGAUCUCUUCUGACGCUGAGGCGCGAAAGCUAGGGGAGCAAACGGG